UACAGAGGGUGCGAGCGUUAAUCGGAAUUACUGGGCGUAAAGCGCACGUAGUCGGCUUUGCAAGUCGGGUGGGAAAUCCCCGGGCUCAACCUGGGAACUGCAUCCGAGACUGCAUUGCUAGAGUAUGGGAGAGGGAAGCGGAAUUUCUGGUGUAGCAGUGAAAUGCGUAGAUAUCAGAAGGAACAUCAGUGGCGAAGGCGGCUUCCUGGACCAAUACUGACGAUCAGGUGCGAAAGCGUGGGGAGCAAACAGG
rnacentral:rRNA from 1 species